rnacentral:lncRNA from 10 species
GGCUAAGGAAGAAGGUGGGCAGCGGAGCCGGUGAAGGAAGCCGCAGGCGCGGAUGGAGGCGAAGAGAUCAGGAGCAGUAAAGGAACACUCUCUUCCCCAGUCAGCUGGGAUACGGAUUUUGUAAGGCCUAGGGACUUUGUCUUUGGAGGUCCUGUCUCCAUAAGGCUUCCCAAAACAAAGAAUGUUCAGAUUGGACUGGCCUUAAAAUGCAGUAUUUAAAACAGCAACAUGUCUGACAGAUCCGAGAAAUGAAAUACGUCCAUUUCUUUUGGCAAGGAGCAGAAGGCAACAUAAAGCAGCUGCAAGAAUUAAUUCAUGGAGAUAGUUGACAUUUUCGAGCUGACUGCCUCUUAGAGAAAAUGAUGUCAUUCUCCAGCAGCCUAAUGACAGUCAUCAGCCUGAGAGGACACAUGCUAAUAAGACUAUCACCAGCAAAGAAUUUUCUGAGCAAAUGUGUACUGGAGACCUUCUGAGGAACCCACUAGAGCCUGCACAUCCCCUUUUCCUAGCAAGGUCAACUGGAAAACAGAAAUUCAGCAAGGUUAAGUGACUUGCCCAAAAUCAGAGCUGAAACUCUAUUUCUCUUCCUCCAAAUCCAGUGUUCUUUCCAAGAUAACGUGCAACUUUCCUUUGGAAUGAUCAGCAGAAUGUCAAAUAAGGAAAGGACAUGUAGAGUUCAUGGGAGGAGACAUUACUUCUGGCUGCAGAAUUAUGGAGGCUUUAUGGGAGACGCCGUAUAUUUUAUCUGUGCGCCUUGAUCACGUGUCUGACCAUGGACAGAGAAACCAGCCUAAUGAGCCUUCUUUACAGGUCUUACUGCCUAUUAGAGCAAAGGAAGAGGAAAUCUUUGGCUAACCGGUCAGAGAAAACAACUGGAUUAAACAAGAUACUCUUCAUGACUGUGGUUGCAAAAAUGCAACACAACUUUUAAAAAUCUUAGUACUAAUUUUUAAAAAUGGCUUUUAAUUUGGGGGAGACUCGAUAACAGAACCCGAAAAUCUGAUGAAUUGUAUGAACAUUUUGUUCAGAAAAAUAAACAUAUAUUACCAGAAAAUUUCAUAUGUGAUUCAAGAAGUCCACAGAAGUUCCAUGUUAGUAAAAUUGAGGAACAAUGGUGACAC